UAACCGUGGUAAUUCUAGAGCUAAUACAUGCUAAAAAUCCCGACUUCGGAAGGGAUGUAUUUAUUAGAUUAAAAACCAAUGCCCUUCGGGGCUCUCUGGUGAUUCAUGAUAACUUCUCGAAUCGCAUGGCCUUGCGCCGGCGAUGGUUCAUUCAAAUUUCUUCCCUAUCAACUUUCGAUGUUUGGGUAUUGGCCAAACAUGGUUGCAACGGGUAACGGAGGGUUAGGGCUCGACCCCGGAGAAGGAGCCUGAGAAACGGCUACUACAUCCAAGGAAGGCAGCAGGCGCGCAAAUUACCCAAUCCCGACUCGGGGAGGUAGUGACAAUAAAUACUGAUACAGGGCUCUUUUGGGUCUUGUAAUUGGAAUGAGUACAAUUUAAAUCCCUUAACGAGGAACAAUUGGAGGGCAAGUCUGGUGCCAGCAGCCGCGGUAAUUCCAGCUCCAAUAGCGUAUAUUAAAGUUGUUGUGGUUAAAAAGCUCGUAGUUGAACCUUGGGCCUGGCUGGCCGGUCCGCCUCACCGCGUGUACUGGUCCGGCCGGGCCUUUCCCUCUGUGGAACCCCAUGCCCUUCACUGGGUGUGGCGGGGAAACAGGACUUUUACUUUGAAAAAAUUAGAGUGCUCCAGGCAGGCCUAUGCUCGAAUACAUUAGCAUGGAAUAAUAGAAUAGGACGUGUGGUUCUAUUUUGUUGGUUUCUAGGACCGCCGUAAUGAUUAAUAGGGACAGUCGGGGGCAUCAGUAUUCAAUUGUCAGAGG
rnacentral:rRNA from 1 species